rnacentral:rRNA from 1 species
CCUACGGGGGGCAGCAGUGGGGAAUAUUGCGCAAUGGGCGAAAGCCUGACGCAGCGACGCCGCGUGAGGGAUGAAGGUCUUCGGAUCGUAAACCUCUGUCAGCAGGGAAGAACGGUCACUGUGCUAAUCAGCAGUGAAUUGACGGUACCUGCAAAGGAAGCACCGGCUAACUCCGUGCCAGCAGCCGCGGUAAUACGGGGGGUGCGAGCGUUAAUCGGAAUUACUGGGCGUAAAGCGCUCGUAGGCGGUAGGUCAAGUCAAGGGGGAAAUCCCCGCGCUCAACGUGGGAACUGCCUUUGAAACUGGCAAACUGGAGUGUGUGAGAGGAUAGUGGAAUUCGAGGUGUAGGAGUGAAAUCCGUAGAUAUCUGGAGGAACAUCAGUGGCGAAGGCGACUAUCUGGCACAUAACUGACGCUGAGGAGCGAAAGCGUUGGUAGCAAACAGGAUUAGAUACCCUUGUAGUC